UACGGGGGGGCAAGCGUUGUUCGGAAUUACUGGGCGUAAAGAGCUCGUAGGCGGUUCGAUAAGUCGGGUGUGAAACCUCCAGGCUCAACCUGGAGACGCCACCCGAUACUGUCGUGACUAGAGUCCAGUAGGGGAGCGUGGAAUUCCUGGUGUAGCGGUGAAAUGCGCAGAUAUCAGGAGGAACACCGGUGGCGAAGGCGGUUCUCUGGGCAUUACCUGACGCUGAGGAGCGAAAGUGUGGGGAGCGAACAGG
rnacentral:rRNA from 1 species